UGGGGAAUAUUGGACAAUGGGCGCAAGCCUGAUCCAGCCAUGCCGCGUGAGUGACGAAGGCCUUAGGGUUGUAAAGCUCUUUUGGCGGGGAAGAUAAUGACGGUACCCGCAGAAUAAGCUCCGGCUAACUUCGUGCCAGCAGCCGCGGUAAUACGAAGGGAGCUAGCGUUGUUCGGAAUCACUGGGCGUAAAGCGCACGUAGGUGGGCAGUUAAGUCAGGGGUGAAAGCCCGAGGCUCAACCUCGGAAUUGCCUCUGAUACUGGCUGUCUAGAGUUCGAGAGAGGUGAGUGGAAUUCCUAGUGUAGAGGUGAAAUUCGUAGAUAUUGGGAAGAACACCGGUGGCGAAGGCGGCUCACUGGCUCGAUACUGACACUGAGGUGCGAAAGCCAGGGGAGCAAACGGGAUUAGAUACCCCAGUAGUCCCUGAGCGGGCUGGCAAGGCGCAU
rnacentral:rRNA from 1 species